GCAGUACAAUUGAUUGCUUACGCAGUACCGGUCAAACGAUGGAAGGCCAAGAACCGCUUAACAAAGGAAAGCUCAAAACUUUGAACAGAAGAAAGAGGAUAAUGCUAGAGAGUUCAAAUUUUUAAAUUAGAAUUUGCAAAUAAAUGGUAUGGUUGUUCAUAAUUGGAUUAUUACCUAAGCAUUAAUUAACGUGCUUAUUUUCUAUUGAUGAUAUAUCAUCUGACCACAGACGAACCCCAAACGUCAAUUCGACGAGCUCCGACACAAAGCUACUUUGCUGGCGAGUUUUGCUAUUGUAUUGGGG
rnacentral:lncRNA from 1 species